rnacentral:tRNA from 1 species
GCCUGGGUGGCUCAGUCGGUUGAGCAACUGACUUCGGCUCAGGUCAUGAUCUCGCGGUCCGUGAGUUCAAGCCCCGCGUCGGGCU